AGCGCACUUGGUAAAUCAUAUUUCGCAAUACAUAAUUUCUUUGUUUAUUUGUGUUUGUAAGUUACUCUGUAUACUAUAAUAAUUAACAAAUUCAUGUACCCUGUGUGAAUUAAAUGUAACUUACCGUCUUCAGCAAUUACAUGACUGUUGGAUAUUCCUUUUACUAGUGAAUUUGGUUGAUUUUUCAGGCCUCCAAAGUUGCGUCAAUACAAUGCAUUGUUUGGGAGUAUAAUUACA
rnacentral:lncRNA from 1 species